CCCAGAAUCACCCAUUCUUCUUGUUGAUUCUUUCUGGAAUUCUAACACUCCUCCCACGGAACCAUUUUCUGUUAUUUCCAGUGCCACACUAAUCCCACCAACUGUAUCCGAGAACUUUUUCAAUAUCCCUGGUUUCAACCUUUCCCCUGAUUUUCAGUUCAUGGACACCCUGGCUCUUACCACUGUGGCUACGGAAGCGAUCCACUGUACUCCCACUCGGGUCCCAUCCACUACCUUAUUGCAACGCAUUUCUGAGAUGAUUGACGGGAGGGAAGUUGGGGUGGAACAAACCCUGUAUAGAGUCUCCAGUCCUGAGCCGUGAAGGUCAGCAGGAGAUACAAACAAUGAUGGAGUGUCGACGCAGGUUACCAUAGACCGGGAAUGACAUCAUUUUUGGGAAGGCAAAACCAAACCCUCACAAAACCCUCAAUCCUGCUUUGGAAUGGAUAAACAUCACCAGUAAAGAUGGUAUUCAAAGGAUCGCGAAUCUAACCCAUAAGCUUCUACAAGCUAAUUACCUGACCCACCAACCUCCCGGUAAUAUCUACGAAUGCUUGCCUUUGUAUUCAAUACUGGUAUGUGCAGGCAUCACUAACACUUUUUAAAAGCAUUACAGGGUGGGCUGUGGGUAUUUUGGAAAAAAGGGAAAUGCAGAUACUAAUAACUGACUAUUUGUUGACGGGAGAUCAUAUUGAAGGAUGCGUCAAGACUAUUUUUCUUAGAGCAAAGCAUGCACAAAGGAGGGGAUGGGUUUUGAAGGAGAUUUAGACGAACUUGGAGAUGGUCCAGAAACUUUCUUUUGAACUAGACACUUUUUGCUGGCCCAUAAGUGUAGCACCUAUCUUUUUGUCUAUAUAUAAAUCUAUGCAAAAGAUUACGUGUAGAUAUGAGCCAGAAUCGAGUCAUGUACUGCAUUUUGUAUCCUUAGCUAGGGAAAAUAUUGCUACCAGUACUACUACCACCAUAGACUCCCUUUCUAACCAGGUAAACAUCUUCUAAUGAGUAGAUUGUUUUUCUGUCUCUGAACCAAAAA